GCACUGCUGAAGAGUCCCACAAUGGGACGAAGCAGUUGUCCAGUGC
rnacentral:hammerhead_ribozyme from 1 species